CCGUUCGAGGGGCGCUGCAGCACGCUGCGUUAUCCCAUCCUAGCCGACCCGCCCCUGGCGCGGGACCCUCGGCGGGCAUGACGCCAGACGUUGUCAGGCUCGAACGGAGCGUUGUCAGAACGCAUCAACGGCGCCCAUUCGCA
rnacentral:ncRNA from 1 species